CUGCUGACUUACAUUCAUCGUCGUAUGUGAAGCCCACAAAAACCAGUGGGUGCUCAUGUAAACUCAUUAACUAAGUUUCAUUUUUUACUUUGACGUCCAUAUAUUAUAUGAUAUAUAUUGAACGGUCUGAGAUACGAAUGAAAUGUCCUCUUACAUUCGUCUCUGUCUGCGACCCAGCUCAGUGUUAUUCACUGUUGCGGCGGCUGCGUUAUGCAUCCUAGUGAUGUCUGCUAUCGUCGGGUUAGUGCUGUGGAGAUUGUCCGAGAACAAAGGCAGCACAGAUGAACUGCCCGAAAAAAAGGGACCCAGCGCCACCAUCCCUGGGCACCCAGCGGCCAGUACGAGCCCAGUUGUACCCGAGGAUGACGAUACAGCGGAUGACUCGGCGACUGACAAAAGGACCCCGACCAAGAUACCAAGUAUUGCGCCAGGACCACGU